rnacentral:rRNA from 1 species
UACGGAGGGGGCUAGCGUUGUUCGGAAUUACUGGGCGUAAAGCGCACGUAGGCGGCUUUGUAAGUUAGAGGUGAAAGCCCGGGGCUCAACUCCGGAAUUGCCUUUAAGACUGCAUCGCUAGAAUUGUGGAGAGGUAAGUGGAAUUCCGAGUGUAGAGGUGAAAUUCGUAGAUAUCGGGAGGAACACCAGUGGCGAAGGCGGCGACCUGGGCCAAUAUUGACGCUGAGGUGCGAAAGCGUGGGGAGCAAACAGGG